CCUACGGGUGGCAGCAGUGGGGGAUAUUGCACAAUGGGGGAAACCCUGAUGCAGCAACGCCGCGUGAGUGAAGAAGUAUUUCGGUGUGUAAAGCUCUAUCAGCAGGGAAGAAAAUGACAGUACCUGAACAAGAAACCCCGGCUAAAUACGGGCCAGCAGCCGCGGGAAACCGUAGGGGGCAAGCGUUAUCCGGAUUUACUGGGGGGAAAGGGGGCGUAGACGGUUAUGUAAGGCUGGAGUGAAAGCCCGGGGCCCAACCCCGGGACUGCUUUGGAAACUGUGUAACUGGAGUACAGGAGGGGCAGGCGGAAUUCCUGGUGUAGCGGUGAAAUGCGUAGAUAUCAGGAGGAACACCGGCGGCGAAGGCGGCCUGCUGGACUGAAACUGACGUUGAGGCUCGAAAGCGUGGGGAGCAAACAGGAUUAGAUACCCUGGUAGUC
rnacentral:rRNA from 1 species